rnacentral:tRNA from 1 species
GCGGAGGUUGCAGAGUCUGGUCAAAUGCGCAGGACUUAAGAUCCUGUCCCUUAGUGGGUCCGAGGGUUCGAAUCCCUCCCUCCGCA